AUCCCAGAUUGAAGUUUUAUGUGUUUAUCUGAUUCAUGGGAGGCACAUAUGGAUGAUGGUAGUUCGCUGAUAGCACCUUUUGACUUUAGAAAAGGAUUGCUAAUAGUACCUUACCAAACAUAC